UUUUUAGUUUCAUUUUAUUUAAAAUUUGAUGGAAUAUUCAAUUUAAAAACUUUAUUUUUGAUAUGCAUUUUUUAUAAGUUAACCCCAGGAAAAAAAAAAUUCUAAAUCCGCCAGAACUACCAAAAUGGAACACCUUCGAAAGCAUCCGACAUCAAAAGGCAAUAUAAAGCAUGACUGCCUUUUGCAGAUUCAAGACAUCGCAUUAUUAAGCAUUUGAGUUGUUAUAUUUUACUUGAGCCUACAUACACUUCUAAGUAUGUCACAAAUCAAUAAAAUCAACCUAAUUUCAAGAGGAACAAAUCAACGAACCCAUUUCAAUUCUUUUGCCCAUACACACACACACUCUACUAACACGUGAAGAAAUGUAAUGUUCAUGAUGAGAUCAAUCAACAAAACAAUUAGUAAGAUUAUAAUUGCAAAUAAUUGAAUAUGCACCACAAAGCAUUUUGACUUUAGGGAUUUCAAUUCACAAGUUGAAUUAUUCGCCCAGACAUUCAUUCCACUGCUCCUAAAACAAUGAACUCGAUGUCAAGUUUAUGUAAGAUUUUCCUCUUAUGCUGCAGGUUGUAACUAGUUAAUUGUAAUGUCUUUUUGAUUUUAUCAAACAGAGAUUCUAGUCCAUAGCACCCUAAUUUAACAACUUUAAACAGUGAUAUAGAUAGAUAUGUAAUUAGCAAACUCUUACCACAAAAUUGUGAUCCUG
rnacentral:misc_RNA from 1 species